AGGAAAUUUCUGGUGGGCCUUCGCGGCUCCGCUGGGUUGGCAGCCGCUUGAGCCACUGCGAGGAAAGCAAAGUCUGGGCCAUGGAGAUGAGCCUAGUCCUGCUGUUCCUGAUCCGCACUGCCCUUUUUGCACCCCAGGGAGCUGCUGCUGACGGCGCCUCCCUCUGUCGCCAAAGUUGGAGUGCAGUGGCGCGGUCUCGGCUCACUGCAAGCUCCGCCUCCCGGAUUCAAGUGAUUCCCCUGCCUUAGCCUCCUAAGUAGCUGGGAUUACAAGUGCCCACCACCACACCCGGCUAAUAUUUUGUAUUUUAAUAGAGACUGGGUUUCACCAUGUUGACCGGGAUGGUCUCAAUCUCCUGACCUCGUGAUCUGCCUGCCUAAGCCUCCCGAAGUGCUGGGAUUACAGGCGUGAGCCACCACACCUAGCUG
rnacentral:sRNA from 1 species